CCUACGGGCGGCAGCAGUGGGGAAUAUUGGGCAAUGGGCGAAAGCCUGACCCAGCAACGCCGCGUGAAGGAAGAAGGCUUUCGGGUUGUAAACUUCUUUUGACAGGGAAGAGCAGAAGACGGUACCUGUCGAAUAAGCCACGGCUAACUACGUGCCAGCAGCCGCGGUAAUACGUAGGUGGCAAGCGUUGUCCGGAUUUACUGGGGGUAAAGGGCGUGUAGCCGGGCUGACAAGUCAGAUGUGAAAUCCGGGGGCUCAACCCCCGAACUGCAUUUGAAACUGUUGGUCUUGAGUAUCGGAGAGGCAGGCGGAAUUCCUGGUGUAGCGGUGAAAUGCGUAGAUAUUAGGAGGAACACCAGUGGCGAAGGCGGCCUGCUGGACGACAACUGACGGUGAGGCGCGAAAGCGUGGGGAGCAAACAGGAUUAGAUACCCCAGUAGUC
rnacentral:rRNA from 1 species